AUUUAUCAUUUGUAACGCGCAGCAAAAGCGGGAUAAAACAUUCAUUGGGGGUUUAAAGGAGGUAUAAAGUGUUGUCACCAGUGCCACCCAGGCUGGAGGCAGGAGACCUGGUGGGUGGAGGGAUCAGAGGAAGAGGAGGAGGAAGGGAGAGGGAUCAGAGGAAGAGGAGGAGGAAGGGAAAAGGAUCAGAGGAAGAGGAGGAGGAAGGAAAGGGAGAUGGAAAAGGAGAGGAGAGGGUGAAAGUGAUGGAGAGUGAGACAGCACAGCGUCCAGGGGAGAAGAAGAAGCUGGGGGAGCUGGGCUCGUCCUAAAGCUUUUUACAACCAGCAGGAAAGCGUGUGAGGGAUGAGAGAGAAGAUGUAGGAGUGGUUUUGGGCACACAUUGGUUUGUGGGAGGCAGUGCCACAGCAGCACUCACGGAGCAGCUGCCGGGCUCUGCUCCGGCUCCGGGCAGGGCACUGCUGCCAGAAAUGCACCCCAGAGCCUCAGGAAGCAAAAUUCAGGUGCUGUUUGGUCAGAGAGACAAAUAACAUUUGACUGCUCUUUCUUCUUUCAUGGCAGAUGUUUCUAAUUCCCCACAUGAGAAGCAGUACCAAAGCACUC
rnacentral:lncRNA from 12 species